CGUUCUAUUUCUACUGAAUUAGUAGUGGGGCCUCUAUUUAGCCAGUAUCAUGUAAUAUUAAGCUAAUACAGUGUCAGUUUAUGUUCAAAUCCUUGCAGAGGGAUUGGGCAGACAAUCGUUAAUCCUGAAUUUUGUUCAUGUUCCGGGGGCAGCUAUUUUCUCUGAGUUCAAGCACUAUAAACCCAAGAAGGGUUUAAUAAAAAAUAAUUAAAAAAAAGAUGAAAUGUAAAAUACAAUCAUAGAACAGAUUAAAUGUACAAUAACAGAACAGCAUGAGUUGCCUAUAAGCAGAUCACACUCGAGAAAUAAAAAGUGUGAAAAUGUCAUGUCUGAGUGCCUUCACGGGGAUAUGGUAAACAUGUACGCUAGUAAAUUCCCUUCGCUGGCCACUUAAUGCGCUUUUAAUGCAUCUCUCAAUUAGAUUGACAACUACAGUGUGUCAGUUUAACUACAGUAGAGUUUCCCACAUAGUGGGUCAGAAUCCACAUGGUGAGUUGUAGCAAGUUUCUACAGAAUAAACAGGUAAUUUAUGAAAACUUUGGGUGGGAUAUGUGUGACUGUCUGGGUUCCAACACAAAAUGUUUUGCCUUCAUGGAAAUGGAUGAGAUCAAACCUGGUCCCAUUGUGAUCGAGUUGUACAAGAAGCCUACUGACUUCAAGAGGAAGAAGCUCCAGCUCCUGACCAAGAAGCCACUCUAUCUCCACCUCCACCAGACGUUGCACAAAGAUUAAUAACCGAGGUCACAGAGUAGAGCACAUCAAGAAAGCAGCAGCGCCACAGAAUUCCACUGUAGUCAUCAGACAUCCAGUAAAGUUUGGUGUAGCGACUCCCUAUCCGCCUCCACUCACAUCAACAAUACUAAACCCAGCAGGCCCAAAUGCCACAACCUCAACUCUGUGAUAGGACGGCCCUGGAUGACACAUAUUAACUACAGCGGUGACAGCACACUACUGUAUAAUGCUGCUUCGUAACCCAGUGGGAGGUGGGAAUUUACCAGUUGUGAAGUCGUAAAUACCAGUUGGAUGCAUUCAACUUGUUGAGAAAAGAUCAUUUGGCUAAUGGCCAACAAGCUGCCUAAACCAUAAACUAAAAGCUAUCAUGCUGGUAAACAAAUGAGUGUUAAAAAACAUAUUAAUAGAUUGCUUUUUAUAAAGAAUGUUUUGUUGCAUUUAAUUGCAGAAAAAUGCUGUUAUCCAGGUCAUUUCCUAAAUGGUGACGUCAGAGGUCAGCAUGUGGGAGAAGUGGGAGCUCAGGAUGAUGUAUGAGUUUCCCACUAGUAAUUACCAGUUGGAGGGCCUUUCAAAUGGUAAAUUCCCACUUGGUUACAAAACGCAGUAUUUGACCCCUCUGGUGCCAAUUAGCGAUCACUUUUUUUCUCCUCUCUGCAUGAUGCUCAAUGGAAAAGAAGAGUUGAGUUAGCAAUUGGUACUGUAUGUCAAACAACCAGCCUCGUCUUUAGUCUUCCUCUGCCUUUCCCUUUGGGGAUGAAAGAGAAUCAACAUGAUCAUAGGUGCUCAAGCGGUCUAUUGAUGAUGUCAUAUCCUGGUGCUGACACUGCCACAGUGAAAAUAUAUAACUGCCCUGUUCAUUUACUUACAUCCUUAUCACUGAUCUGGCGUUAUUUAAUAGGUAAAAGUAAUAUAUUGGGAUAUUUGCUUUAAUCUAUCACAUUAGAUGUGUGAUUACUUCAAGGAUGGGAGGAAGGAUGCCUUUUUUAGCAUUCAAAAAUGAUUCUGAGAUGCUAUGAUGUCAUCCUGUUAUAAAGGGAGUUGAAAAGGAUGCUGCAUGUAACUGAAGUUGACUUUUACCUUUGUUUUGAAUGCUGUUCCCAUCAAGGCCACACUGGCUAACCACUAUUAAAACAUUGUCUCCAUUUUAUUCAUAUUUUUUUGUAAUGGCACUAACUGAAUACACUUAUGGUGCUUUCAAGACAACUGGGAACUCUGAAAAAAAUUUGGUCAAAUCAUGACGUCAGUGAUCAUCGGGUCGAAAAGUCAGAGCUCUAGAAAGGUGCCAGAGUUCCCGACGUGGAAUUCCGAGUUGGAUGACUUAAAAGAUUUCUCCCAGUCGGAGCUCGUUUUUUUCAGAGGUCCCAGUUGUCUUGAACACACUGAAGUUGGAGAUUACUGAGUUCCCAGUUGUUUUGAACACGGCAUUAAGAGACACUAAUCAGUGACAAUUUACACUGCUUUCAUUUUUAAUAAACAAAAUGCUGUUUGAA